ACGGAAGGCAGCAGUGGGGAAUAUUGCACAAUGGGCGCAAGCCUGAUGCAGCAACGCCGCGUGAGGGAAGACGGUCUUCGGAUUGUAAACCUUUGUCUUUGGUGAAGAAGAAAGUGACGGUAGCCAAGGAGGAAGCCACGGCUGACUACGUGCCAGCAGCCGCGGUAAUACGUAGGUGGCAAGCGUUGUCCGGAAUUACUGGGUGUAAAGGGUGCGCAGGCGGGACAGCAAGUUGGAUGUGAAAUACCGAGGCUUAACCACGGAGCUGCAUCCAAAACUGUUGUGCUUGAGUGAAGUAGAGGUAGGCGGAAUUCCGAGUGUAGCGGUGAAAUGCGUAGAUAUUCGGAGGAACACCAGUGGCGAAGGCGGCCUACUGGGCUUUAACUGACGCUGAGGCUCGAAAGUGUGGGGAGCAAACAGGAUUAGAUACCCUGGUA
rnacentral:rRNA from 1 species